UUGGCCUACGGGAGGCAGCAGUGAGGAAUAUUGGUCAAUGGCCGAGAGGCUGAACCAGCCAAGUCGCGUGAGGGAAGACGGCCCUACGGGUUGUAAACCUCUUUUGUCGGGGAGCAAAGCGAGUCACGUGUGACUCAUUGAGAGUACCCGAAGAAAAAGCAUCGGCUAACUCCGUGCCAGCAGCCGCGGUAAUACGGAGGAUGCGAGCGUUAUCCGGAUUUAUUGGGUUUAAAGGGUGCGCAGGCGGUCUGUUAAGUCAGCGGUCAAAGCCCGGGGCUCAACCCCGGCCCGCCGUUGAAACUGGC
rnacentral:rRNA from 1 species